GACGAACGCUGGCGGCGUGCUUAACACAUGCAAGUCGAACGGAAAGGCCCUGCUUUUGUGGGGUGCUCGAGUGGCGAACGGGUGAGUAACACGUGAGUAACCUGCCCUUGACUUUGGGAUAACUUCAGGAAACUGGGGCUAAUACCGGAUAGGAGCUCCUGCUGCAUGGUGGGGGUUGGAAAGUUUCGGCGGUUGGGGAUGGACUCGCGGCUUAUCAGCUUGUUGGUGGGGUAGUGGCUUACCAAGGCUUUGACGGGUAGCCGGCCUGAGAGGGUGAACGGCGACAUUGGGACUGAGAGACGGCGCAGACUCGUACGGGAGGCAGCAGUGGGGAGUAUUACACAGUGGGCGGGAGCCUGAUACGGCAACGCCGCGUGCGGAAUGACGGCCUUCGGGUUGUAAACCGCUUUCGCCUGUGACGAAGCGUGAGUGACGGUAAUGGGUAAAGAAGCACCGGCUAACUACGUG
rnacentral:rRNA from 1 species